CAUGCAAGUCGAACGAUUAAAGCUCUCUUCGGAGAGUGUAUAGAGUGGCGCACGGGUGAGUAACACGUAAGUAAUCUACCUUCGAGUGGGGAAUAACGUUCGGAAACGAACGCUAAUACCGCAUAAUGCAGCGGCAUCGCAAGAUGACAGUUGUUAAAGGAAUUUAUUUCGCUUGAAGAGGAGCUUGCGGCAGAUUAGCUUGUUGGUAAGGUAACGGCUUACCAAGGCUACGAUCUGUAUCCGGUCUAAGAGGACGGUCGGACACACUGACACUGAAUAACGGGUCAGACUCCUACGGGAGGCAGCAGUCGGGAAUUUUGGGCAAUGGGCGAAAGCCUGACCCAGCAACGCCGCGUGAAGGAUGAAGUAUUUCGGUAUGUAAACUUCGAAAGAAUGGGAAGAAUAAAUGACGGUACCAUUUAUAAGCUCCGGCUAACUACGUGCCAGCAGCCGCGGUAAUACGUAGGGAGCAAGCGUUGUUCGGAUUUACUGGGCGUAAAGGGCGCGUAGGCGGCGCGGUAAGUCACCUGUGAAAUCUCUGAGCUUAACUCAGAACGGCCAAGUGAUACUGCAGUGCUAGAGUGCAGAAGGGGCAAUCGGAAUUCUUGGUGUAGCGGUGAAAUGCGUAGAUAUCAAGAGGAACACCUGAGGUGAAGACGGGUUGCUGGGCUGACACUGACGCUGAGGCGCGAAAGCUAGG
rnacentral:rRNA from 1 species